AAACUGAAUGGACAAUGAUAAUGUCAGCAAUUUAUAGGAGGUCCCUAAUAUUGAAUAUUACUGCACACCAAGUCCUCAUGGUAGAGUGAUGAAAGAAAAAAACGAUUCUAAAAUGUGGGUCACAGGGAAAGCAACAACCUACAAUGUUCACACCACAGAAGACAAACAGACUUGAUUGAUUCUUUAUUCAUGCCCAUAGAUUUUUUUUUUUUCUUUAUCUUUUACGUGUGUAAUUUGGUUA
rnacentral:lncRNA from 1 species